AGAAACUGCAAAGCUUCAUUUUCGUGGUGGGUCACAAUAGGGGAAUCUAGUCCAAUUCUCAAAAUCUUAAUUAGGAAGCAUUUUUGAAAUUACCAAAGGCAUUAAAAAGAAAACUGGAGACUGCCUUGGAAUAUAUCAGAAGCUAUAGGCCACUAGAGAGGCAUCAGGACAUUUAAGUUGAAAAGGUAUAAGAUGAAGCACUUAGAGAAGACUGUGAAGUUGUUGAGAAAUUAGAAAUGUGUUCAUUUCCCAGUAAGCUAGAAGAACUCGACACAGCUCCCCCCGCUUUUUUGGCAUUUUCUGGAGAAAGGAAACCGAUGCCAAGCUUAUCAGAAGUUAUUUCAAAAGGAGUCUGAUAAAGAUAAGGUGUGAAGAAAAUAAAUGCCACGGUCACAUAAGCUGGAAUGCAAAACUGAUACGUUGUGCUCAAAUGUCGUGGCACAGGAUCUUGAAAAGACAACCUCUGUGACUAUUUCUGGGAACUAUUGUUUAGGAAACCUUCCCAUUGUGUCUGAGUAAUAUUAGCAAUGUCUCCACUGGUACAAAACAAAACUUUGCGAAUCUGUUGUGAAUGUCCAAAUAAAUCAAUAGGCUGCAUUAAAAAAGAAGAAGAUAAUAUUGAAGACCUGCUUAAAACAGGGCUGCAGAACCUCAGACCCUGGAGCCAAAAACAUUCCUCCAGUCCUCUCUGACUGGUCCUCAGAAACUUUUGCCAGGCUGUGCUUCAAACCUCAAGUGCUUUUGUCUGGCUGGGAUGUGUCCCUGGACUCUGCUCAUAGCUG